rnacentral:rRNA from 1 species
UACGUAGGGGGCUAGCGUUGUCCCGGAUUUAUUGGGCGUAAAGAGCGUGUAGGCGGCCAUGUAGGUCCGGUGUGAAAACUCGAGGCUUAACCUCGAGAUGUCAUCGGAACCAUUGGCUAGAGUCCGGAAGAGGAGAGUGGAAUUCCUCGGUGUAGCGGUGAAAUGCGCAGAUAUCAGGAAGAAACACCAAUGGCGAAAAGCAG